rfam:Trichomalopsis sarcophagae strain Alberta scaffold998, whole genome shotgun sequence.
GAAAAGGCCCUUUUCAGGGCCAUGACUAUUAUACAUCAUAUUGCGU